UCGCUGGGAAGAUAUCAGUUCGAUAAUUUUCUUUUAUUGAGAGUAAGCUGUAAUAAAAAAUAACGACGUUUACGUAUAUCGUGCACAGCCGUGACAAAAUCUUUGGAGAAAAACAGAUAAAAUAGAUUCGUCACGCACCACCCCUCAUUCGUUAGCUUUAAACUAUUCUCAUUUCAAAACUAUUGCUCGGACGCAACUUCGUCGAAGGAAAAAGUUAUUUUCUCUGGCACGGAAAAUCGCACUGUGCAUUCUACGUGCGCGAAUUCUGUGACUCUCUGUGCACACAGUGCGUUCGAUAUCAAAUAUAUGUACAUGUAGUAUACAAAUGUAUUGUUACGUGUCUCGUAUAUAUCAUAUAUGUUAUAUAUAUGUAUAUAUAUGCAUAUAUAUAUACAUGGCUCGUUUAACCAUAUUCUAUUCGCAAUCUCGUGCGGUGCACGUUUACCUUGAUUAACCGAUUUGCCGUUGAUUGUUCGUCAGAUUCGUCAAAUUCGAAAACUCGAGUACGGUCGAUCGUGGCAAUCCCCCUAAAGUUCGAAGCGAUUACUAUUUGCAAGUACGGAAUCCCGUCGUGGAGGACGACGACGAUUGUCGAUUACAAUAUGGAAAAGUGUCGCGAUCACGUCGAUCGACCUUAUGGGGGCGCAUAAUCGCGCGAAUCAUGGAAAUUGCUGGAUCGGCUGCGACACAAUGGCGCGGGAAGCGACGAUGUACACAUUGAAAAAUCGUAUAUACACAUAUAGGUAUAACAUGUGUGUAUGUGUACGUGUGUGUUCUGUCGAACGAAUGCGCGAGUAAACGAGCGUGAAUGAAGGUAGAAUAUAAAACGCACGCGAGAAAGAACUCGUGAUCGUUUGCGGGAUCGAGAACGAUCCGCCGCACGUACAAACUAAUAAGCGCGAUUGCGCGUGUCGCUAUCACUAGAGCAUUCUUAUUUUUCUGCGUAUAAAUUUGUCCGCUGACGCAUGUCGCUUCCGCUUGCCUUUAUCAGUCCUUAAGCCAAUUAUGAACGGAUUAAUCGAUCGCGAUCAGUUAGAAGCGAAUUAGCUUAAAUAUUCAAAUUUUAUUCAGGUCGGGAUCCUAUACGUUUUAAAUGUCACAGAUAAAUAUUUUCCCAUUAAAUUAAUCAGAAAUUACAAAACGAACCUUCAAGACGAUAUCUCUGAUCAAACAACAAAAUCACUUCAUCAGUUCACAUUUAUUUCUCUAAAUCUUGCAUAUUUUGGUUGUCAGCAUCACGUGUUUCUUGCUUGGUCAACGUUACGUAAUCGUUUAAUAAAGAUAGAUUUCGCUUGUCAUUCACUACGUCAGCGCACCGUUCUCGCGAGAAUGAAAUUAAUCGACUGAGUCGUCGAACCGUGUCGGCUACACGAGGAAUUUAACACUAACAAGUUUGUAAUCGAGUGCGCAGUAAAUGCAGCGAGUAUCAAAUAUCGUUCGCGAUCGUCUACUUUGCUACGUAUCUCCGUCCGAGCUUGACUCAACUUCUCAAAAAUAGAAAUUUAGGGAUCGACGUUAAUUUGAACUCGAGACAUGCUGUCAGGAUCUCCUCAAACGUGUUAAAGCGGAAACGCCGGGGAUCACGUCGGCGGACAAACAUUCGAUUCUCAUCGUGGUAAGAUGAGAUUAGGUGCGAUUGUCAGAGCUGCUGCUGCUAUAUACGCCUGCCACGAACGUGAGUUCGCGUAGAAAGUUUCGGGUGGAAGGGAGCGCUUUCUCCUGCGAUUGGACGUUUAUUCCGGCCGCAGGAUGUUGAGGGAAUCUUCUCGCUGGGACGCGAGCAAGACCGAUAAAAUCUCGAUGAAAUUGACUGCAGUACUAGUACACGGAUUGUGCGCGACAUGGGCGUUUUGUUACGAGCUACUAUUGCGAGUCUGGUCCUUUCGCAAUUUUUUGACACUUUGUUGCAGUUUCCCUACACCGCUUGCAUCGUCGCCGUAACAUUCUUCAUUAAAGAUCUUCGCACUUUUAAUGAUUUCUGAUGACUUAUUGAUAUUAGGAAUAAUCGAAAUAUGUCGUGAUAUAUAAAAUAUGUACAACAAUCUUUGUUGUGUCGCGUGUAGAUUAAUUAAUAAUACACAAAUUGAAAUGUGCAAAAAUGUGAAAUAAAUGAAUUAAUAAGAAGAAUUCGUUAAUAAAGAGAGAGUUGGAGCUUCUUCCAAAGCUAAAGUCUAAUUUGGAAACAUUUCACGCCACUCAAUAAAAAGUUCUUAUAAUUGAUUUCGAAAUUAAUCAAACUGUUAAAAACGCGGAAUUUUUUAGAUCAAUCCUUCGGUAAAAAAAAAA